AAACGGCCGCGGUACCCUAACCGUGCAAAGGUAGCAUAAUCAUUUGCCUUUUAAUUGGAGGCUGGUAUGAAUGGUUUGACGAGAGCUAUGCUGUCUCCUUCGAAAUAUUUAAAAAUUAACUUUUAGGUAAAGAGGCCUAAAUUUGUUUAAGGGACAAGAAGACCCUGUUGAGCUUUAGCGAUCUUGUAAAUUUUUGUGUAGUUUGCUUAUAUUUGUAUAUUUAUAUAUAACAUAAGUUUAUAGGUAAUCUUUAGUUGGGGCGACUGAGGAACAUGAAAAGCUUCCUUGAACUUAAGAGUGUGUUAAACAAUUAGUUUAUUGAUGCGUUUAUGUUAAUUUUGAUCCAAUUUAUUUUGAUUAAGAGAAAAAGUUACCACAGGGAUAACAGCGUAAUCUUUCUGGAGAGAUCUAAUCGAAAGAAGGGUUUGCGACCUCG
rnacentral:rRNA from 1 species